CGAUUGGUUCUAUUCUGUUGGUUUCUAGGACCAUCGUAAUGAUUAAUAGGGACGGUCGGGGGCAUCAGUAUUCAGUUGUCAGAGGUGAAAUUCUUGGAUUUACUGAAGACUAACUACUGCGAAAGCAUUUGUCAAGGACGUUUUCAUUAAUCAAGAACGAAAGUUAGGGGAUCGAAGAUGAUCAGAUACCGUCGUAGUCUUAACCAUAAACUAUGCCGACUAGGGAUCGGGCGGUGCCUUUUAUUGGCCCACUCGGCACCUUACGAGAAAUCAAAGUUUUUGGGUUCUGGGGGGAGUAUGGUCGCAAGGCUGAAACUUAAAGGAAUUGACGGAAGGGCACCACCAGGAGUGGAGCCUGCGGCUUAAUUUGACUCAACACGGGGAAACUCACCAGGUCCAGACACAAUAAGGAUUGACAGAUUGAGAGCUCUUUCUUGAUUUUGUGGGUGGUGGUGCAUGGCCGUUCUUAGUUGGUGGAGUGAUUUGUCUGCUUAAUUGCGAUAACGAACGAGACCUUAACCUACUAAAUAGUGCUGCUAGCUUUUGCUGGUAUAGUCACUUCUUAGAGGGACUAUCGAUUUCAAGUCGAUGGAAGUUUGAGGCAAUAACAGGUCUGUGAUGCCCUUAGACGUUCUGGGCCGCACGCGCGCUACACUGACGGAGCCAACGAGUAUUAACCUUGGCCGAGAGGUCUGGGAAAUCUUGUGAAACUCCGUCGUGC
rnacentral:rRNA from 1 species